CUCACUUUUGCCCCUGACUGUAUCUGACUCCCAGCCUCCUCUCUGUCUCUCUCUCUCUGUCUCUCUCUCUCUCUCUGUCUCUCUCUCUCUGUCUCCCUCUCUCUUCUACUCCAUUCCCUAUCUCUGCCUGCUUUCUCUGUGGGGUACCCACUCUGACUGGUUUCCUCUCUGUCACUCUCUCUCAACUCUGAGGUAUGGGACACAUAUCCAUGGCUCUUUACCACAGACAUUUGGGGCUCUCAAAGAUGAGAACAUCCAGCUGGAAAUGCCUCAGAGACCACCUUGUUCCACCAAUGGCCAGUCAAGGCCAGACGCACCUGAGAUCACUCAACAGGACCUCAAAUCAUGCCACCUGGAUCAGUGGGAGUCAAACACAGGAACAAUAAAAGGGGUUGCAGCCUUGCGUGAAGUACUAUACAGCAGUGAAAAGGCAUGAACGGCACCUGCGCAUGCCAGCACAAUGAGCCUCAGAAAUACGGUGGAAGGAGAAAAGGCAAGUUCCAGAAGAAACAGUCAGUGUGAUCCACUUUACAUGAAGAUUUUAAAAACACACAUUUGGUGUACACUAUUUCUCAAUAUAUACAUAUGCAUUAACAGUAAAAGAAUAAAAAUAUACUUUGAACAAGAAGCA
rnacentral:lncRNA from 13 species